GACAGAGGGUGCAAACGUUGUUCGGAAUUACUGGGCGUAAAGCGCGUGUAGGCUGCUCUGCAAGUCGGAUGUGAAAGCCCUGGGCUCAACCUAGGAAGUGCAUUCGAAACUGCAAAGCUGGAGUCCUGGAGAGGAAGGCGGAAUUCUCGGUGUAGAGGUGAAAUUCGUAGAUAUCGAGAGGAACACCGGUGGCGAAGGCGGCAUCCUGGACCGAGAUUGACGCUGAUGCGCGAAAGCUAGGGUAGCAAACGGG
rnacentral:rRNA from 1 species